rnacentral:rRNA from 1 species
ACUCCUACGGGAGGCAGCAGUGAGGAAUAUUGGUCAAUGGAGGCAACUCUGAACCAGCCAUGCCGCGUGAAGGAAGAAUGCCCUACGGGUUGUAAACUUCUUUUAUUUGGGAAGAAACCUUUCUACGAGUAGAAAGCUGACGGUACCAAACGAAUAAGGACCGGCUAACUCCGUGCCAGCAGCCGCGGUAAUACGGAGGGGUCCAAGCGUUAUCCGGAAUCAUUGGGUUUAAAGGGGUUCGCAGGCGGUUUAUUAAGUCAGUGGUGAAAUCCCGGGGCUCAACUCCGGAACUGCCAUUGAUACUGAUAAACUUGAAUAUAGUUGAAGUAGGCGGAAUGUGUAGUGUAGCGGUGAAAUGCGUAGAGAUCUGAAGGAAUACCGGUGGCGAAGGCGGCCCCCUGGACAGAUACUGACACUCAGAUGCGAAAGCGUGGGGAGCAAACAGGAUUAGAUACCCUGGUAGCACAGAG